ACCCCAAACAUUUGACAGUGUAUAUUGUUACAAAAGAAUUAUAUUUUAAAUAAAUGCUGUUCUUUUUUACUUUUUAUUGAUUGAUAUAAAUAAAUACAUUUAUAAAUAAAAUAAAUACAUUUUAAGCAUCACAACUGUUUCCAACAUUGAUAAUAAAUCAGCAUAUUAGAAUAAUUUCUGAAGGCCUCAUAUGCAACAGAAACGGGAUAACUGCAAGUUGACCGAUUAAUGAUCAAUCAUAAAUUCAUGAGCAUACAUGUCCGUAGGUGUUGUGGCAGUGAGUCAGGGGAGACAGGUCACCAGUCUGAGGGAGUAAUUGAGAACCGAGUGUGGGAGGAAAAGA